UACGUAGGGGGCAAGCGUUGUCCGGAAUCAUUGGGCGUAAAGAGCGUGUAGGCGGCCCGAUAAGUCCGCCGUGAAAGUCCAGGGCUCAACCCUGGAAUGCCGGUGGAAACUGUCGGGCUGGAGUCCGGAAGAGGCGAGUGGAAGUUCCGUGGUGAUGAGCGGUGAAAUGCGCAGAUAUCAGGAGGAACACCGAGUGGCGAAGGCAGCUCGCUGGGACGGUACUGACG
rnacentral:rRNA from 1 species